rnacentral:rRNA from 1 species
CGCACGGAGUGCGUAACGCGUAUGCAACCUACCUUUAUCAGGGGGAUAGCCCGGAGAAAUCCGGAUUAAUACCGCAUAAUAUCAUUUUAUAGCAUUAUAUUAUGAUCAAACAUUUAUGGGAUAAAGAUGGGCAUGCGUGUCAUUAGCUAGUUGGCGGGGUAACGGCCCACCAAGGCGACGAUGACUAGGGGAUCUGAGAGGAUGGCCCCCCACACUGGUACUGAGACACGGACCAGACUCCUACGGGAGGCAGCAGUAAGGAAUAUUGGUCAAUGGAGGCAACUCUGAACCAGCCAUGCCGCGUGCAGGAAGACUGCCCUAUGGGUUGUAAACUGCUUUUAUCCGGGAAUAAACCUGCUUACGUGUAAGUAGCUGAAUGUACCGGAAGAAUAAGGAUCGGCUAACUCCGUGCCAGCAGCCGCGGUAAUACGGAGGAUCCAAGCGUUAUCCGGAUUUAUUGGGUUUAAAGGGUGCGUAGGCGGCCUGUUAAGUCAGGGGUGAAAGACGGUAGCUCAACUAUCGCAGUGCCCUUGAUACUGAUGGGCUUGAAUGGACUAGAGGUAGGCGGAAUGAGACAAGUAGCGGUGAAAUGCAUAGAUAUGUCUCAGAACACCGAUUGCGAAGGCAGCUUACUAUGGUCUUAUUGACGCUGAGGCACGAAAGCGUGAGGAUCAAACAGGAUUAGAUACCCUGGUAGUCCACGCCCUAAACGAUGAACACUCGCUGUUGGCGAUACACAGUCAGCGGCUAAGCGAAAGCGUUAAGUGUUCCACCUGGGGAGUACGCCC